GAUGAACGCUGGCGGCGUGCCUAACACAUGCAAGUCGAGCGAACAGACGAGGAGCUUGCUCCUCUGCCGUUAGCGGCGGACGGGUGAGUAAUACGUGGAUAACCUGCCUUUGAGACUGGGAUAAGUUCGGGAAACCGGAUCUAAUACCGGAUAAUAUAUUGAACCGCAUGGUUCUUUGGUGAAAGCGGGUUUUGCUGUCCCUUGUAGAUGGUUCCGCGUCGCAUUAGCUAGUUGGUAAGGUAACGGCCUACCAAGGCUACGAUGCGUAGCCGACCUGAGAGGGUGAUCGGCCACACUGGAACUGAGACACGGUCCAGACUCCUACGGGAGGCAGCAGUAGGGAAUCUUCCGCAAUGGGCGAAAGCCUGACGGAGCAACGCCGCGUGAGUGAUGAAGGUCUUCGGAUCGUAAAGCUCUGUUAUUAGGGAAGAACAAAUGUGAAAGUAACUAUGCACGUCUUGACGGUACCUAAACAGAAAGCCACGGCUAACUACGUG
rnacentral:rRNA from 1 species